CUUGAUAAAUUAUAAGAGGUCUAGCCUGCCCAGUGACCCUGUUCAACGGCCGCGGUAUCCUAACCGUGCAAAGGUAGCGUAAUCACUUGUUUUUUAAAUAAAGACUAGUAUGAAUGGCAUCACGAGGGUUAUACUGUCUCCUUUCUCUAAUCAGUGAAAUUAACCUCCCCGUGAAGAGGCGGGAAUAUUUUUAUAAGACGAGAAGACCCUAUGGAGCUUUAAACAAACUAUAUUUGCUUAACCCCAUAAAUAAUUUCAGAAAAAGAACCAAUUUUAGCAUUAUACUAGUUAGUUUUAGGUUGGGGUGACCGCGGAGAAAAAUAUAUCCUCCACAUUGAAUAAGAAAAUUUUUAGCUAAAAGUUACAUCUUGAAGCAUCAACAAAUUGACAUUCUUGACCCAAUUAAUUGAUCAAUGAAC
rnacentral:rRNA from 1 species